UACGUAGGGGGCGAGCGUUGUCCGGAUUUAUUGGGCGUAAAGCGCACGUAGGCUGCUUCAAAAGUCGGAUGUGAAAUCCCGUGGCUCAACCAUGGACGUGCAUUCGAAACUGCGAAGCUUGAGUAUGGAAGAGGGUCGCGGAAUUCCCGGUGUAGAGGUGAAAUUCGUAGAUAUCGGGAGGAACACCAGUGGCGAAGGCGGCGACCUGGGCCAAUACUGACGCUGAGGUGCGAAAGCGUGGGGAGCAAACAGG
rnacentral:rRNA from 1 species